GUCAAUACUAAGGCUAAAAGGCAAAUCCACCACUAAGGGGGAGUCAAAGCCACAACAAGAACCUGGAGAAGGGUCACCGUCACCACCGUGGACAUCGUCAGGAGUCACCGACUUAAGGAGAUUUCAAGCCUUCGGAGCGGCGUCAGCAACCAGCCACCACUCGCCAGCUGACGAGGGUUAUCGAUGACGGUGGCUCCACCAAAUGUAGAAACCUUGCCGGAGCAGAAGAAACCGAGAGCCGAGGAGACCCCUGGCCAGAGAAAAGGAGAUGUGCUCUGAGAGAAAAAUGUGAAAAAACCACAUGGCACGGACAAAAAUCCGUAUCUAAGGGACUACACCAUCAAGCCCAGGUUUGUGACCCAUGAAAAGCAUGUUUUAAUGUAAUAAAUCCAAUAAUAUAAAUAAAGUAGGUAUAAAAAUUAUAUUUAAA